UUUAUUUACUCUUUGUUUUUAUCUCGCGCCGCUCCUGCACGGCAGCCGAGCUGUGAAAAUGAGGUUGUGAGGAGGUCGAGCUCGUCGAGUACUUUAAAGGCGUUGAAGCAAUCCAUUACCUCGCUGUCGUCAGGUUGAAUGGUUGCUCUAAAAUCAGUAUAUCAUCGCACAGACAUCCUUGUUGCUGGUGAAGAGGUCUCUUGUGAGGGAAGAAGCUUGCGCAGUGCCUGGCUCUCUGUAUCCAGAAACAUCCAUGUCUUUUUGAAAAUGCACUGUAGUUGUCUUCCACAGUACUAUGUCUGCAUGCUCCAUUUCCCUAUGCUAUCGAAUCAGGUUCCCAUCUCAUUAUGUGAUAAUGCUAGGCUGUAAGAAGCUAGGAUUGCAAGACUGGUAGGAAAAGAUCCACUGCGAUGCUAUUUCACUGGUCACAGGAGCACGCUAUAAGAGGUGAUCUUGCUCAUCAGUUACCACUGAUAUUUGAACAGGUUUUGCAUCGCUGAGUUAUCAGAUGUUAGAAUCUACUCCUUGAAGAAAGGCUCUGCCAGCUUAAGAAUAAAGAAUAAGGGCUUCCUAGCAUUACUGUUAUGUUGGUGUAGUGCCACUAAGCAGCUGAUGGCAACAGGGAGCAGCAGGUGCUCAGCCUCUUGCAGCAUCAAAUGGGAACGCUAUGGCAAAGAAGUUCACAUUCCCCUCGUGCCAUGAGAGUGCUCUCUCCUAGCAGCUACCAAGCCAACUCGCAUUGCGUGGAGAAUGUCUUCUGCAAAAACAUUUCUCUUACUGCUGAGGAAAAAAGUGAAGAUUUAUUUUCACAGAUACUUUGAACAAAAAGAAGAUCCAAUCUUCACUCAGAAAAUAGAUUAACAUUUUUGAAACUCUGUUAAACUUUGUGAAAUGCACACUUACCCUUCCUAUUUUCAUGGAAUGAUUUUCUACUGUUGCACUAUUUAACAUUUCAUUGAGAAUACCAUUCAUGGAUAGUACUUUCCAGUUUCUGACACAUUUUUCUCUUCUCCUCUAGUAUUUUGUACUUCUUUGUUUGUAGACAGCAUAAGGAAAAAGAGUGAAAAAAUUCCAGCUAUGCAAACAUAAGAAAGAUUUUCUUCAAAAUUUAGUUUUUAGAAUCAGUUCAGGAGAUGGAGUCUAACUUGUUGCUCAGAGAAACAAAAAGUCCUAGGAGUUAUUUGAAUCUGAUUUGCAGAGCUCCACCAUCCCCUGAGUAUAUUGCUGGGAUUGCACAGAGGGAAAUUGCUAGUGUAGGACCAGGGUCUAAUACUGGCAAAAUUUUGAGGCUUCCAAUAGAAGUAUAUUACACAAGUAAUAUUUGCUCAUAGGAGUGAGAGAAUAUUACUUGUGCGAUGAGCAGCCUACUCAAAAUACCCAAGAAAAAGAUCUUAUUCAGCUGCAGAUAUACACAUGCAUUAAAACAAAGAUUCUGGGCAACAGCAUCAAGGAGUUGUACUUUCCUUUUUUUUUAAGGAAAGACCACAUCAUACACUACUCGGCUUGCAAAUAAUUAUUUUACUAGCAGACAACAUUUGUAACCUUUUAUGUCACAGCUUGCCAGCUUGUCCAUCCUUCAAUUCAGAAUAUCCUGAUACCUGUGAUAGUCUGAAAGGUGCCCAUUACUAAUGAGGUUCUUGGUGGAAAUGAUGUAUUAAAUUCACUGUGAAAUUUUAAAAAUAUGCUUUUUUCCAUUUUAAAUAACAGUCUCUUAAGGAAGAAUCUACUCAAUAAUGCAAAGUAUUACAGGAAAUCAUUAUGCAGGGUUAAAUCAAACAUCAAAGCAUCACAUCACUACCUUGCUAUUAAUGUAUCUUUUUUAUAAUCUGUAGAACAUGUCUGUGUACAAGAGAAAAGCGAUUUAUUUGAAUCUCUAAGGGGUACAAUCAUUUAGCCUAUGUAUGUGAUUUAUUUUGCUUAGAAAUUUCUCUGCUUUUGCUUCUUCCAAAGUAACUACUAAUUUACAGUUUCAGUGAUAAUUUGUGAUAAAACAUCAAUAUUUCAAAUCAUUUUUACCUAUUUAAAAAUUUGUAAUAGCAGGUUCUGUAAUUAAAAAUGAGGCACUAUCUGUAAA